GGGCACCCUAUGAGUGGGUAAUUGCAUAUGUCUGCACGGAAGCAAUUUUCGAAUAUUCAUACGUUUUCCGUUUUCGCGUCGUCUGCAUAAACAAGUUUCCUUUACACUUGGUACACUGGUUCGCGUCAACUUUGCUCGCAUUGCAAGUAGGAAGAGUGAAUCAUUCACCAAGGAACAUCUAACGUGCAAAGCACAGUUGACAAAGG